UCUGGUUUUGUGCAUAUGCUGGGCUGAUUACAGAAAUAUGGGUAAUUCCAGGGCGAGGGAGGAAUAAAUGUAAGCGUUCUGUUGAAUCCGCUGUUUUCAGGACAUCACGCAGCUCCUCAGUCCUCAGUCAGUCCACACUGAGAUGAUGACCCAUCUGGCCUUCAGUCAGGAGCCCAUGGAUUCUCUGGAACUGAAGUUACAGGAGCUGCCAGCCAUCAUGUAGAUGCUGUGAAUGGAACCCAGGUCCUCUGUAAGAGGAAGAAGUGCUGUGGUAUGUAUGUGUACAUCCAUACACACCCGACAAGUAAAUAAUUACCAUUUUAAAGCAUAUGAGGAGAAGAUCUGAGGCUGCUCCGCUCACCUGUGACCACCAGCUAGCUGGGCCAGGCGCUGAUGGAAGGUCUGGGAAGUUCCUCUGGAAAGAAUUCAGAAUUAAUUAACUCUUCAUCACAGUGAGCCUCUCCUAAAAUUCUGAAGGAUCAAAGGUUGUCGAUCUUGGCAGCAACUGCCUUUAUUCGCUGAGCCAUCUCAUCUGCCCAUCUCUUCUUCUUGAGCAUGAAUGCAAUGUGACCAGUUACCUCAAGCUCCUGUUGCUGUGACUUCCCCACCAGUAUGGGCUGCAAUCUCAAACAGUAAGCUGAAACCAACAGUAAGCAAUUUCUCCCGUAAGUUGCUUUAUCAAGGAUUUAUCACAGCAACAGGAAAAGUAGCUACUGUAGGGUAAAAAGUCCAAGCUCACUUCUGGGUUUCAGAAAGCCACCGAUCCCUGAGCUCAGAAACCAACCAACUCUGAGUUUAGAAACCCACAAAUUCUUGAGUUCACCCCAAGCUCAGGACUUGAAGUCCCAUGAAUCAAGUCCCAUGAAUCCCAACCCUGGAAAUCAUCC